rnacentral:rRNA from 1 species
GAUGAACGCUGGCGGCGUGCUUAACACAUGCAAGUCGAACGGAAAGGCCCAAGCUUGCUUGGGUACUCGAAUGGCGAACGGGUGAGUAACACGUGGGUGAUCUGCCCUGCACUUCGGGAUAAGCCUGGGAAACUGGGUCUAAUACCGGAUAGGACCACAUUUUGGAUGGUGUGGUGGAAAGUUUUUCGGUGUGGGAUGAGCUCGCGGCCUAUCAGCUUGUUGGUGGGGUAAUGGCCUACCAAGGCGUCGACGGGUAGCCGGCCUGAGAGGGUGUACGGCCACAUUGGGACUGAGAUACGGCCCAGACUCCUACGGGAGGCAGCAGUGGGGAAUAUUGCACAAUGGGCGCAAGCCUGAUGCAGCGACGCCGCGUGGGGGAUGACGGCCUUCGGGUUGUAAACUCCUUUCGCUAGGGACGAAGCGUUAUGUGACGGUACCUGGAGAAGAAGCACCGGCUAACUACGUG